AAAAUAAGUGCUAUCUUAAAUAGCCGACAUAAGUUUUGCUUUCCGAGUAGUGUCUCUCCCGAGGCACUUUUUUUUAUUCA
rnacentral:ncRNA from 1 species